rnacentral:rRNA from 1 species
GACGAACGCUGGCGGCGCGCUUUAUACAUGCAAGUCGAACGAGAAGCCAGAGCUUGCUCUGGUGGAAAGUGGCGAACGGGUGAGUAACACGUGAGAAACCUGCCCCAAAGACUGGGAUAAGCCGAGGAAACUUGGUCUAAUACCGGAUACCUUCUUUUUAUCACAUGUUAAAAAGAAGAAAUGCUCCGGCGCUUUGGGAUGGUCUCGCGACCUAUCAGCUUGUUAGUGAGGUAAAAGCUCACCAAGGCAUCGACGGGUAGCUGGUCUGAGAGGAUGUCCAGCCACAUUGGGACUGAGAUACGGCCCAAACUCCUACGGGAGGCAGCAGUAGGGAAUCUUGCACAAUGAGGGAAACCUUGAUGCAGCGACGCCGCGUGCGGGACGAAGGCCCUAGGGUUGUAAACCGCUUUCAGUAGGGACGAAAGUGACGGUACCUACAGAAGAAGCCCCGGCAACUAUGUGCCAGCAGCCGCGGUAAU